AUUACCCGCUGAACUUAAGCA
rnacentral:rRNA from 1 species